CUCCUGGCAUCUGAUCUCCAAGAUGACCAGAAAUAGUGAUGAUACACUAUGAGUUCUAUCAUUUGCUUCUGGAUCCAGAACAAAGUGGCAGUUAUGAAGACAAACUUUUAGAGACAGCUGCUUGUGUCGAUGAGAUGAGUUCUAGAAAAAGCCUAUGAAACCAUGAGUGGGGGUCUUCCAGAUGAAAGCAAGCUUUCCCGGAGAAAGUCGAAGCUGUUACGCCUCCUAGGGACUAGUCUCAGAUGUCACUUAGACUAUUCUAUUGGGGAUCUGUUACUGUGGCGGACAUCAAGGACGCAGGUACACAGGAUGAGGUUCCUGAGAGGGACUGAGGAUACACUGUCUACACUGGCAAGUUGAACUUCCUGCUGUUGACAAAGCUAACAGAGAAACCUUAAGGGACUACUUCUAAUGUUUCUUGAUAAGAAUUAUGUUAACAUCGGUCUCUAUGGAUACUCUUCCCAGUUAAACUUUCCCCUUCUUAUAAUUUCUGAGUAGUAUUAAUCAGUGCCUGGUAGGUAGACUUAUUGAGUUUGAAUUAUAUGUAUGUGAAUUUUAUUAUUUUUCUGCAUCUAUUAGAAUACUUUUUGCUUUAUAGUACUUACUUACUUACUUACUUUAAUCCCAAGUGCUGGGAUUAAAGGCGUGGGCCACCACUGCCCAGCCUCUCAUUUGUUUCUUGAGAACACAAUCUCACUUUGUUAACUUUAGCUGACUGGUACUAUGUAACCCAGAGAGACCUUGAACUCUUAGCAAUCCUUUUGUCUUAGCCUCCUGACCUAUGGGAUAAGAGAGUGAGCCAACAUGCCUGGCAACUGUCUUUCAAAAUACAUCUGCUAUAAAGAUUUCCUUUUCCUUUCCCAGAUUAUUUAUCUAGGAAUAGAGACGACGACUACUUCUUCU